CAGAUUUGUCAUAGCCAGGUGAAGAUUCUGUCAUCUAUCUAAAUUUAUUGAGUACCUUCCUAGGGCUGCUGUAACAAAGUACCACACACUGCGUGGCUUAAAACAAUAUUUAUUGUCUCACAGUUCGGGAAACUAGAAGUCCGAAAUCAAGGUAUUGGUAGGGCCGUGCUCCCUCUGAAACCUAUGGGGUUUCUUUGCUUCUUUCUAGUUUCUGGUGGUUUGCUGGCAAGCUGUGGCAUUCCUUGGUUUGCGUAACCCCAAUCUUUGCCUUUGUUGUCACAUGGCAUUCUCUCUGUGUCUCUGUCUUCACGUGGGGAGUCAAAUACAUUUGGUUUGAAUCCCAGUUCCGCUGUGUGUUGAAUGGCAAGUUCUAGCUUAACUCUCCCGCCUGGUUCCUCCUUUCCCUGCCGCAACUAUGCAGUAAUCACUGACCUGUAAGUUAGAGCUUUGUGAUCUUGGGUAAACCAAAGAAUCCACAAUCCCAGUUGUGGAUUUCUAAUCUGUGAGGAAGGUUGUUGUGAAAACUGGAGAUAAAAAUUACUUAAUGAAAUGCAUGACAUAUGGUGAACAUUUAAUAAAUGGUAGUUAUUAUAACACUAUUAUUAUUAGAAAAUUUUUCUUUCAGUGCUUUUAAAAUCUUGAAAAGAGUAAGAAAAAAGAGGACAGAUUGUCUGCUUUUUGUGUACAGGCAUGAAGGAAUUCUUACGAUUCAACCUCUGACCUAUGGGUCAGUUGGUGAAUACAGUUUGAGGGAGGAAAGGAGAAACAAGGAGAGAUGUUAA
rnacentral:lncRNA from 1 species